rnacentral:rRNA from 1 species
AGAGUUUGAUCCUGGCUCAGGACGAACGCUGGCGGCGUGCCUAAUACAUGCAAGUAGAACGCUGAAGAGAGGAGCUUGCUCUUCUUGGAUGAGUUGCGAACGGGUGAGUAACGCGUAGGUAACCUGCCUUGUAGCGGGGGAUAACUAUUGGAAACGAAAGCUAAUACCGCAUAACAAUGGAUGACACAUGUCAUUUAUUUGAAAGGGGCAAUUGUUCCACUACAAGAUGGACCUGCGUUGUAUUAGCUAGUAGGUGAGGUAAUGGCUCACCUAGGCGACGAUACAUAGCCGACCUGAGAGGGUGAUCGGCCACACUGGGACUGAGACACGGCCCAGACUCCUACGGGAGGCAGCAGUAGGGAAUCUUCGGCAAUGGGGGCAACCCUGACCGAGCAACGCCGCGUGAGUGAAGAAGGUUUUCGGAUCGUAAAGCUCUGUUGUAAGUCAAGAACGGGUGUGAGAGUGGAAAGUUCACACUGUGACGGUAGCUUACCAGAAAGGGACGGCUAACUACGUGCCAGCAGCCGCGGUAAUACGUAGGUCCCGAGCGUUGUCCGGAUUUAUUGGGCGUAAAGCGAGCGCAGGCGGUUUGAUAAGUCUGAAGUUAAAGGCUGUGGCUCAACCAUAGUUCGCUUUGGAAACUGUCAAACUUGAGUGCAGAAGGGGAGAGUGGAAUUCCAUGUGUAGCGGUGAAAUGCGUAGAUAUAUGGAGGAACACCGGUGGCGAAAGCGGCUCUCUGGUCUGUAACUGACGCUGAGGCUCGAAAGCGUGGGGAGCGAACAGGAUUAGAUACCCUGGUAGUCCACGCCGUAAACGAUGAGUGCUAGGUGUUGGAUCCUUUCCGGGAUUCAGUGCCGCAGCUAACGCAUUAAGCACUCCGCCUGGGGAGUACGACCGCAAGGUUGAAACUCAAAGGAAUUGACGGGGGCCCGCACAAGCGGUGGAGCAUGUGGUUUAAUUCGAAGCAACGCGAAGAACCUUACCAGGUCUUGACAUCCCGAUGCUAUUUCUAGAGAUAGAAAGUUACUUCGGUACAUCGGUGACAGGUGGUGCAUGGUUGUCGUCAGCUCGUGUCGUGAGAUGUUGGGUUAAGUCCCGCAACGAGCGCAACCCCUAUUGUUAGUUGCCAUCAUUCAGUUGGGCACUCUAGCGAGACUGCCGGUAAUAAACCGGAGGAAGGUGGGGAUGACGUCAAAUCAUCAUGCCCCUUAUGACCUGGGCUACACACGUGCUACAAUGGUUGGUACAACGAGUUGCGAGUCGGUGACGGCGAGCUAAUCUCUUAAAGCCAAUCUCAGUUCGGAUUGUAGGCUGCAACUCGCCUACAUGAAGUCGGAAUCGCUAGUAAUCGCGGAUCAGCACGCCGCGGUGAAUACGUUCCCGGGCCUUGUACACACCGCCCGUCACACCACGAGAGUUUGUAACACCCGAAGUCGGUGAGGUAACCUUUUGGAGCCAGCCGCCUAAGGUGGGACAGAUGAUUGGGGUGAAGUCGUAACAAGAUA